AUUGGUUGCAACUAUGAGAUUAAUAUCUAAUUUUAAUUAUUCGUCUUAUUUCAAAUUUUUUUAUAAUUAGUAUUUUUAUUACUAUGAGAUGAUAAAAUAUGAAUAUAUUUUAUACGUUACUUAUGUUUUCAUUUUUUUAAAAAAAAGUUUUUAAAUAAGACGGACGAUCAAAAUUAAGUAUGGAAAAUCAUAGCUGCACUAUAA
rfam:Oryza sativa Japonica Group DNA, chromosome 8, cultivar: Nipponbare, complete sequence.